rnacentral:rRNA from 1 species
UACGGGGGGGGCAAGCGUUGUUCGGAAUUACUGGGCGUAAAGGGUUCGUAGGUGGCCAAUUAGGUCAGACGUGAAAUCCCUCAGCUUAACUGGGGAACUGCGUCUGAGACUGGAUGGCUUGAGUGCAGGAGAGGAACGCGGAAUUCCAGGUGUAGCGGUGAAAUGCGUAGAUAUCAGGAGGAACACCGGUGGCGAAGGCGGAUCUCUGGGCCGGAACUGACGCUGAGGAGCGAAAGCGUGGGGAGCAAACAGG